GAUGAACGCUAGCUACAGGCUUAACACAUGCAAGUCGAGGGGAAACGACAUCGAAAGCUUGCUUUUGAUGGGCGUCGACCGGCGCACGGGUGAGUAACGCGUAUCCAACCUGCCCACCACUUGGGGAUAACUUUGCGAAAGUAAGACUAAUACCCAAUGACGUCUCUAGAAGACAUCUGAAAGAGAUUAAAGAUUUAUCGGUGAUGGAUGGGGAUGCGUCUGAUUAGCUUGUUGGCGGGGUAACGGCCCACCAAGGCGACGAUCAGUAGGGGUUCUAAGAGGAAGGUCCCCCACAUUGGAACUGAGACACGGUCCAAACUCCUACGGGAGGCAGCAGUGAGGAAUAUUGGUCAAUGGACGAGAGUCUGAACCAGCCAAGUAGCGUGCAGGAUGACGGCCCUAUGGGUUGUAAACUGCUUUUAUAAGGGAAUAAAGUGAGAGUCGUGACUCUUUUUGCAUGUACCUUAUGAAUAAGGACCGGCUAAUUCCGUGCCAGCCGCCGCAGUAA
rnacentral:rRNA from 1 species